AUUGAACGCUGGCAGAAUGCUUUACACAUGCCAGUCGAACGGCAGCACGGGGGCAACCCUGGUGGCGAGUGGCGAACGGGUGAGUAAUACAUCGGAACGUGCCCGGUCGUGGGGGAUAACGUAGCGAAAGUUACGCUAAUACCGCAUACGAUCUGAGGAUGAAAGCGGGGGACCUUCGGGCCUCGCGCGAUCGGAGCGGCCGAUGUCAGAUUAGGUAGUUGGUGGGGUAAAGGCCUACCAAGCCGACGAUCUGUAGCUGGUCUGAGAGGACGACCAGCCACACUGGGACUGAGACACGGCCCAGACUCCUACGGGAGGCAGCAGUGGGGAAUUUUGGACAAUGGGCGCAAGCCUGAUCCAGCCAUUCCGCGUGCAGGACGAAGGCCUUCGGGUUGUAAACUGCUUUUGUAUGGAACGAAAAGGCUCUGGCUAAUACCUGGGGCUCAUGACGGUACCGUAAGAAUAAGCACCGGCUAACUACGUG
rnacentral:rRNA from 1 species